AACGUAGGAGACAAACGUUAUCCGGAUUUACUGGGCGUAAAGUGCGUGCAGGUGGUCUGUUAAGUCUGGCGUGAAAGCUCCUGGCUAAACCGGGAGAGGUCGUUGGAUACUGGCGGACUAGAGGACGGUAGAGGCGUGUGGAAUUCCGGGUGUAGUGGUGAAAUGCGUAGAGAUCCGGAGGAACACCAGUGGCGAAGGCGACACGCUGGGCCGUACCUGACACUGAUACGCGACAGCAUGGGGAGCGAACGGG
rnacentral:rRNA from 1 species